rnacentral:rRNA from 1 species
UACAGAGGUCUCAAGCGUUGUUCGGAUUCAUUGGGCGUAAAGGGUGCGUAGGCGGCGCGGUAAGUCGGGUGUGAAAUCUCGGAGCUUAACUCCGAAACUGCAUUCGAUACUGCCGUGCUUGAGGACUGGAGAGGAGGCUGGAAUUUACGGUGUAGCGGUGAAAUGCGUAGAUAUCGUAAGGAAGACCAGUGGCGAAGGCGGGUCUCUGGACAGUAACUGACGCUGAUGCGCGAAAAGCUAGGGGAGCAAACAGG